rnacentral:rRNA from 1 species
AACGAACGCUGGCGGCAGGCUUAACACAUGCAAGUCGAACGGGCACCUUCGGGUGUCAGUGGCAGACGGGUGAGUAACGCGUGGGAACGUACCCUUCGGUUCGGAAUAACCCAGGGAAACUUGGGCUAACACCGGAUACGUCCGCAAGGAGAAAGAUUUAUCGCCGAAGGAUCGGCCCGCGUCGGAUUAGCUAGUUGGUGGGGUAAUGGCCCACCAAGGCGACGAUCCGUAGCUGGUCUGAGAGGAUGANCAGCCACACUGGGACUGAGACACGGCCCAGACUCCUACGGGAGGCAGCAGUGGGGAAUAUUGGACAAUGGGCGAAAGCCUGAUCCAGCCAUGCCGCGUGAGUGAAGAAGGCCUUAGGGUUGUAAAGCUCUUUCAGCGGGGAAGAUAAUGACGGUACCCGCAGAAGAAGUCCCGGCUAACUUCGUGCCAGCCGCCGCCGU